CUGCAAGCAAUAAGGAGGUUCUGGAGUCCACCAAAAACAAGUGAUCCAAGUGAUACAGCAACAAGAAAAGCAAGCUGAAGAUGACUGCUUAAAAAGAAUGAUCAGCUGCAUUUUUCAUCUUAAAUCAGCUGGAUUCCUUACAAUGACAAUAACGUCUGUGUUGAAGGUGUUGGACCUUGACUGUUGACCUGAUACAAGGAUAAUAGAAUGCAGGAUACGAGCCCUGAGAAGUCUCCGUCUCAGUGCUAAGAGAGGACUGAAGAAUCUGCACA